rnacentral:rRNA from 1 species
GAUGAACGCUGGCGGCGUGCCUAAUACAUGCAAGUCGAGCGAACAGACGAGGAGCUUGCUCCUCUGACGUUAGCGGCGGACGGGUGAGUAACACGUGGAUAACCUACCUAUAAGACUGGGAUAACUUCGGGAAACCGGAGCUAAUACCGGAUAAUAUAUUGAACCGCAUGGUUCAAUAGUGAAAGACGGUUUUGCUGUCACUUAUAGAUGGAUCCGCGCCGCAUUAGCUAGUUGGUAAGGUAACGGCUUACCAAGGCAACGAUGCGUAGCCGACCUGAGAGGGUGAACGGCCCAAACGGAAACGGGAAACGGGCCAGGAUCCUACGGGAGGGAGGAGGAGGGAAACUUUCGGAAAUGGGGGAAACCUGAACGAGCAAAGGCGGGGGGGUGAAGAAGGGUUUUGGAUCGGGAAAACCCUUUUAUAAGGAAAAAAAAAAUUGGAAAGUAACUAGCAAGGUCUGAAGGUUACUAAAUAGAAAAGCAACGCCUAACUAGGG